AACGAACGCUGGCGGCAGGCUUAACACAUGCAAGUCGAACGCAUCCUUCGGGGUGAGUGGCAGACGGGUGAGUAACGCGUGGGAACGUGCCCUUCAGUUCGGGAUAACCCAGGGAAACUUGGGCUAAUACCGGAUACGUGCGAGAGCAGAAAGAUUUAUCGCUGAAGGAUCGGCCCGCGGUUGAUUAGCUAGUUGGUGGGGUAAUGGCCCACCAAGGCGACGAUCAGUAGCUGGUCUGAGAGGAUGAUCAGCCACAUUGGGACUGAGACACGGCCCAAACUCCUACGGGAGGCAGCAGUGGGGAAUAUUGGACAAUGGGCGCAAGCCUGAUCCAGCCAUGCCGCGUGAGUGAUGAAGGCCUUAGGGUUGUAAAGCUCUUUCGUCCGGGACGAUAAUGACGGUACCGGAAGAAGAAGCCCCGGCUAACUUCGUGCCAGCCGCCGCGGUAA
rnacentral:rRNA from 1 species